ACAAGGGGCGAUGUUUUUGGUGCAAAUUUGGGACUUCGUUUGGGAUCAGGGAAUUUUGUGUUCUGGAUCGAGCUCUUCCUUGUACGAGCUGUUUCCUAUUUUUGAUUCUGGCGCUGUCUUCAAACACAGCUUGCAGCGCGAAAAAUCCUUGCUGUGCGAAUCGUGUGUUCGACACCAUUGCCGAUUAUUUCAUUUGUGAAAAUUGGAAUGGCCUUGUGGAGAAAGAAUGGCAGCUGCUCCUGCUUUGCGUGAUGUUUUGUCUGAUGUUAGUCGUCGUCGGUUAGAAUCAGUAUCCCAACUAGUGCGACCACGUCGUGGAACAGUCAGCAAUGGGUCUGAGUCGUCCCUUCUGGCCGUGGACAAGAGAACGGCGCACGUCGGGGAGACGGUGCAAGUCAAGUUCGACAUCAAGUCCACUUGCGAUCCGCACGACUGGAUAGGCUUAUAUCUGGCAGAUAAUACAAACCCUAAUAACUAUCUGGAGUAUCGUAAUCGUGGUCUAACGGGAGGACAGAUUGGAACCAUAUCAUGGCUUCUGGAGCCACACAUCUUUAUCAGCCAGCCAGGCUCAACUACAAAGGUUCAGUUCUGCUAUUACCACAGCGAUGGUGGACUGGAAGCCAUGAGUGCUCCAAUCAUUGUCACCUUGCCUGCUAGCAGCGAAAACAGUGGGUCAGGGCUGUACUCGUCUACUGAGGAGACAUCAGCCAUACAGGUGUCCCAAUUGUAUGCAAGAGAUUUGAAGAAGAAGAAGUUUAGCCGGCCAGACCCGAUACUGCGCUUGCGUGUAGUCCCUGGUCCAUCGUUUCCCUGGCUCAUCCACCAUGAACAGCAGAACAAGACACAUCGCUGCAAAUCUACUUGUAACCCUGUCUGGACCGGAGAGGUGUUUCAGUUCCAGGUGAUCAGCAGUGAUGUGUUGGAGUUCAUGAUCAAAGGCAAGAACCCAGGCGAUGGUGGAUUCCUUGGCAAGUCCUCACUGUCCAUGAACCGCUUUGUCGGUGAAGAGCAAGGCGCUGAUAUUGUCCUGCACUUGGACCGGCGGUUUCCUGGCGAAAACAUCACAGGUGUUGUGUGCGCUCGUAUUGACUGGUCUCGACGAGCAUCAGAACGACCGCGAUUACCACCAGCCCUGCCUGCGGCGGUUCAGGGUAGGACUACCCAGUCAGACGAGUCGGACAGCGAGCUGGCUGACGCCAACCAAGGCUCUAGUACAUGCACUGGCACUGGUGCUACAGGCAGCAGCAGCAGCACACAAUCAACAGGACCAGCACCCAGCGGACCCAGCAGCAACGGUAGUUCAUCGGCACCCUCCAGCAUAACGUCCGACCCGCCCAGCUCACGCUCCCAGUCCUCUCCACUUCCACCAAUCUGUGAUGCGGUGGCCGUCGUGCCCGGACCGCCCAGCCAGUACAUGGUUCCCAGGGACACCGCCGCACAGUCUGCGCCAUCGUCCACACGCACCACGCGCCAGUCGUCCUCGGAGCGCGAGUACAGCGAAAUGGGAGACCGACGAGAAUACAGCGAUUUAGACCGACGAGAAUACAGCGAGAUGGGAGAGCAGCAGCAGCAACAGCAUCAGCAGCAUGUGUACGAAUCGCUACGUUCGCCCACCAGUAAUGGCACUGCUGCAUCAACUGCAAGCGCCAGCAGUGGUGCCAUUGCUGGCAAAGUCACAGUGUCUGCCAGGCAUUCCGGUGGCUCUUCCGACGCCAACGACACUUCGCAGACUGGCGACAAUGAACAGCAGUACGCCAGCGCCAGUCCGCUGCCCACGCGGCGCGCAAACUCCAAGCCCGUGAUGGCCGCACGCUCCGGCUUUACUCCGAUGGACCGCGCUCGCUCCGCCACUCUGGGCCAGAGUCACGGCCACAGCUCUCCGAACAAACCGCUGCGGCGCAAGGCCCGCUUCGGAUCCACCGAAGGCAUCGCUGACAUUGGCGAGCUGUGCAGCAGCAACAUCUCCAAGUCGUCGCGGCCCGGCUACGUGGAUACCACCGCCGUGUUGGCAGAGAAACGGGCCUGUGAGGCCGCCGCUGCUGCUGCAGCAGCACGUCCGCUUGCCUCUGUCCAAGCUGAUCAAGCCGAGCGUCGCCGCUCCAGCUCAGCCACGGCCUACUCUGAGCUCCGCAAGACUUCUCUCCGUCACUUUCCACCGUCAUCAUCGUCAUCAUCAUCUUCGUCACCGUCAUCCGUACUGCUCGAGGACUGUAGUGUAGAUAGUACUGGCCAUACUAGAGGAUCCAGAGCACACACAGUAGCAGCAGCAGCUCCCCUCGUUCCCGGUGCUGUACAGCAGCAUGAUACUAGCACUUCAGCGGUGACAGCGACGGCGACGGCGCUUGUUGACGAGCGAAGUAAAAUUGGCUACUUGUCGUUUCGCCCACCGGCUGUACCGCGUACUGCAGCUGUCAAGACCCCGCCGUCCGACAAUGCACCGUCGUUUGGGUCUCCCACGGCCAUGUCUUCAUCCGCAGGAUUGGAUACCACCAGCAGCAGUAGCUUAGCACCUCGCUGGCAGGUUUCAAACAACCACUUAGUCUCCAGUUCCGUUUCUGCAAGUGACCACGCCGUGGAAGAGCACUAUGCCUGUUUGCCGUGCGCUUCGGCCGGUUCGUCCGCUCAAAACUCUGCUGUCGUAUCGCCACUGCUGUCUCGGCGUAACAGUGGUGAUAUCUAUGCACAGCUGCCGGCGGCUGUUAACAGCGCUAAUUCCGGCACCACCCAUUUAACGUCUUUGAGUCACUCUGCUUCUGCAAGUGCUCCUGCUGCCCCUGCCCCGGCUACUACUGCUACUGCUGCGACUACGACGACACCAUCGGCUGCUGCUGCUGGUGCCACUCCUCCUACACUCACUGCUGCCAGUUUUCUUCGCGGCGACCCUUCGCCGGAUGGCAGUGUCGCGACCACCAUGACCGGUCUCGACAUGAUGGCGCCGUCCUGUCGAUCCGACGCUGACGGCGGCCUGAGCGAUUCUCCGUACGCACUGUGUAAUAGCGUGCGCACUGCCGUGCUGAACGAACGCUCUGGCAUAGUCGUUCCCGGUAGCAAUGGUGGCUUGGUGUUGAGUAGCAGCACGAGUGACGGUGUCGGUGGCGCUGGUCAGCAACCUACGCAACAACCACCACCCACUGUUAACAACAUCAGCAGCAGUAGUAGUAGUAGUACGCUUGCGGGAUCAGCGCCUGCACACUCUUUACAGAGCGAUAGCAGUACACCGUUUGGAGAUGCCCUGCGUGUAGAUCCUGGCGCUGCGCCAGCCGAUCCGUUUGUGGCCUACUCAACAAUACCACGCGGAAACCCUUUUCCAGCAGCGACACCGACCGAAGCUGCAACACCAACAGCAGCAGCAUCAAUGACCACGUAUUCGGAUUGCACGUCGGUGUCGGCAGCAGCAGUGAGAGCAAGAUCGCCGCGAGACCCGGCUGUAGCUGCACUGCUGCGGCAGAGCACAUCUGGCAAUCUGUGUGACGGCGCCGGCCCGGGAGACUUCUCGCCGCCGUUGCCGCCUCGUCACCCCACUGCAUCCGCCGGUGGGCUAAGGAGCAUCGUCGGCAGUGCACUGAACAACAGUGCCAGCGAUCUGGACGCGCCGCCGUUCUUGCACACCAUUCAGUCGUCGGAUUCGCUUGCCUGCUUGGCUGGAUCGCUGGCCUCGGCGAAUUUCCAGACCAGCGAUAGCUCGUUUGCGAGCCGAACUGCUGUAGAUUUCAGCGAUAGCCGAAUAAGCCGGGGGAGUGACACGCCAUCGGCUUCUAGCGAGCAGAGUUCCUUAGUAGCCCACCACGUGCGGAAUCUGGGCAUUGACGUGGACAGCCCACCGCCCGUACCGCGCCAUCAUAACACGAUGAGCAGCGGUUGUCCUUCCCCGGCUCUCUCCUCAGGAUCAUCACGGUCAAGCUCACCUAGGGCAGAGCGUGUAACACACGCACCACCGUCCUCGUCAGCUGGCAUGGCCACCACAUCGCUAGAUAUGGCACUUUCCGCCGACGGCAAAAGCAGCGGCAGCAGCGCCAGCGUGAGUUUGAAACCGUUGUCAGAGUUGCCGCCAUCGUCCCAACCCCCUAGCAACAACAACGGGUCGGACGGUUGGCGUGGCAACACCAUACCUAGCAGUACGCCCGUGUCCAACGAGCCGUUUUCGUUUCCAGUUCCGUUCAACGACGAGCCACUGAAGCCGGCCAUGCCGGCGUUCUGGACUUCGGACACGUCAACGACGUCGCCCAUCAGUCCUGCAAACAGUACUCACUUAACGACUUCCUCACCAGUGACGUCGUCCUCUCCGGCUGCAGUCGCACGGGACAUAUGGUCAGUUGGCAACGAGAGCACUGCGACCACGGCGACCACGUCGGGUGCAGUGUUCUUCUCCUCGCCAGCUCGUAACCAGUCUGCCGCUGCGAGCAGUUCUGCUUCGGCGGGCGAUGCAGCAGAACAACAACAACGACCGUUUGCUCCUCUGUCGCACAACGGACAGCGCUGCCUGCAAAGUGCUGCAGCAGAGGAGCAAGGAGCAGCAGGUGCCAGCCAUUCCCACCAGCAGCAACAACAGGAGCAGCCAACGCAGCAGCAGCAACAACAACAGCAGCAGCAGCAGCAACAACGGCAUGACAGCGGCAAUGAUAGUCGUGUUGCCAGUAGGAACACCAGCAGUGACCAGAGCAGCGGCCAGUUGACGAUGACAACGUGUAAUCUGCGUGGCAGCGACGGUGCUGAUACCACAGACGGUGUUGCUGGUGUUGGCGAGGCAGCGACUGCCAGUUCCGGUGUCACAUCCGUGCUGGACUCCUCCACGCUGAUGGACGCGUCUUCAUUCUACGAUGACCUGUCUCGAAGUCGCAAUUCCGCCACGUGUCCUCCGGACUUGGAGAUCUCUACGGUGACGGCGCGUACCAACACUGACAGCUCUACCAACACUGUGUUUACCAACACUGGCAGCUCUACCAACACUGACAGCUCUACCAACACUGUGUUUACCAACACUGGCAAUACAAGUGUACAGUCAUCACGUCUUGCACUGGUGGCCAGUUCUAGUGAUAAUGCUAGUUCAUCGUCGUCCGCCACUGUGACCAAUACAACCACCACCACCGGCACCACUGGCGGUAGCAGUAGCUUGCAGGCACCGCGACACACUAGCAGGUCGUCCUCGCCGGGAGACAGCAGCGAAGGAGAGUUUGACUCAUUUGCCGCGUCGCGAGCCCGUGUCGCUGGCGGCAACGGUCCAGCAAUGCUUCCGCUCUCUCCCACGCCCGUGUCCUCCUCGUCGGCUGGCAGUUCUCUGGAUCCGCUGUCGUCAGCGAGCUCCGCUCCACCACUGCCGCCUCGCGAACCCAGCGCCAAUGCUAGCUCUGGCAGUUCUAGAUCUAGUUAUGAUGUGUUCAUGUCAGUGGCCAGUGGCACUAGUUCACAGUCGUCUUUGGCCAGUUCGUCGCUGUUUGUGCUGGGUGGCUCCUCUGUGCUGGGUGGCUCCUCUGUGCUGGGUGGCUCCUCUGGUGGCUCCUCUGGCGUGCCAGUACGCAGUACAUCAAGUUCUUCAACCUCGUCCUCCGCCGCCACCGCACUGCCACAGAACGUGUUCACGCAGCUGCCCAGUGCAGACACGCACGCUGCUGGCAAGACGAUGGCGGCGAGUGCGUUGCCUGCUGCUGGCUCACGCCCUGCUCCACCUCCGCCAUCGUCGCACGGCUCUGAGCAUGAUACUAGCACUGCUACUGGCACCACUGCUACUGCCGCUGCUGCUGCUUCGAAUCCUGCCUCGGGUGAGUCAGCACCACCGCUUCCGCCUCGGGACUCUGUGUCCCCGCGUGUGUCCACGUGCAGCAGUGAUUCACAAUCACCUGCCACACCGCCCAGUAGCAGCCAGGUAGUGGCGGCAGCAGCAGCAGGCCCGCCAGUGCUUCCGCCACGCCACGGCAGCAUCAGUGUCAUCGCUCCAUUCUUUCCUGGUGCUGCUUCCCUCACCAUGCCAGCAUCAGCAGCUAGCUCGGCCACGAGUAGUAGCUCAAGUCAAACCGUUGCCGCAUUAGCCACUAUGCCUGCUGCUGUGUCAUCUCAGUCCAGUGUUCGCACCAGACCCAUGCCCAUGCCGCGGCCGGCGCGACCCUCGCGGCCGUCCAAGCCAGUGCCGCCGCUGCCGCGUGGGGGAAACCCCGCGACGGCCAGGGCUUCGGCGGGGGGCGGCGCGGUACCGGAGCGACCUGCUCGUACCCAGGGUACUAGCACCACUGCCCAGACGGUGGCGGACCAGCGGCCUGCCAGGCCACCGUACCCGCCGAGCAGCUCUGUGAGAUCGGCUCUGCCACCGCUGCCCCCACCGCCCACGCGUCGUAGCACCGCGGCGGCUGCUGCGGGCACACAGCAGGCACGUGCACGCACGGAGAGCAGCGUGCGCAAUCGUCCGGCGCCGCCACCCCGACGUGCCACUCACUCGGCACUGCUCACCGAGCACAUGCUUGAUGGUGCACUUGCUGCAAUCUCUGCUGCUUCUAGUGCAGCUCCCAGCAAUACCACGGGUGCAAUGAUGCCUUCUUUAGCAGUUACAUCAUCAGAAGCAGCAGCAACAGCAGCUGGUGGUGUCUCGUCCGGUUCCAACUCACUGGCAACAACAACUUCAGCUGCUCUGGAGUUACCGCCAAGCUGGGAGGCACGGGAAGAUCAGUAUGGCCGCACGUUCUACAUCAACCACCAGAGUCGCGUCACAACAUGGACCAAGCCAACAGCAGAAGAUAAUGCACAGGAAUCUAACUAUGUGCAGCAUAGGAUACAGCUGAACAGACGGUAUGCCAGCAUGCGUCGCAAUUACGGUAACAAUCCCGGCGGUGGUGGUGGUAGUACUAGUACGGGUGCAGGUAGUACUGCUAGCAACCCGGCUAGCCACAGCGGCAGCACAAGCAGCACUGCUAACCUUAGUGUGAGCAGUGCUGGUGGUAAUAGCUUCGGUGGUAGUGCCAGUAGCGACGGCUCUACCUCAUUCGAUCCUGUACUGGCCAUGAAUCGCUAUGAAGUGUCUUCCUCGUCCGGCACGGAGGAAUCCCCGCAGCGUGGGCCAAACUCUUCAGGGACACUGUCCAUGAAUCGAACACGCACAUUGACUCCGCUGGGUCAGUCACCUACCUCGCUUGGGCAAACGUCGCAAACGCUACCGACGCAGGGCAGCGUCUCACAUUCAGUGCUUACAGCCGCUCUCAGUGCUGGAUCUCCAGCAACAAUGGGCUCCCCGGAAGGCGGUGGCAAUAAGCGUGGCUCUGUGAUUUCCAUGACAUCGCCGUCGGCUACACCCUCAAUUCCAGCAGAGCUUAGCUCGUCACCUGCUGUUCGCUUUCUGCUACGCCAGGACUUCUACACCCUGGUCGGCUCAACACCGAACUCGCAGAGUCUGUUCUAUGACAAUCGGACGCUGGUGGAGAAAGUGCGGCGUGUGCGAGAGAACCCGGCUCUCUUCUCCAAGUUUAUGCAUCACAAGGACAUUGUGUCUUUCAUCAACACAUUUGCAGACAGUGAUGCAGUGUUACCUGGUGGCUGGGGAAAGAAGCUGGACAAAGAAGGAAAGCCAUUCUUCAUCGACCAUAACACCCGUGUAACAUCCUACAUCGAUCCUCGACUACCGGUGCCGCACGCGUUCAGCUCAACUGCAGAGGAACGAUCACCAGAGCCGGAUGCCACGGCUCAUCCGCACGCCAGGCAGGUUACAGGGCGGGGUCGAGACCCACGCGCCGCCCGGGGUCCCGGUCGGGUUGGGGCGUCUCCCGGUCGUGUAGGUGCAUCCCCCAGUCGAAACCAGGUGUCGCGAGUUCAAUCCAACACGUCACUGACCAGCGAUGGGUCCAUGGAUAUCGAUCAAGAAACUGCUGCAGGCGGUGGUCCGGCAGCAAGUGCAGCCGCUACUCGUGUUCUGUCCUAUAAUGAACAAGUAGUGGAGUUCUUACGACAACCGAAUGUGGUGGACGUCAUCAAAGUGAAGCAGCCAGAUGUGGACAGUAACAUGACAUUAGUGCGCACUAUCAAUCGUAUCGGUCAAGGUGGUGUUUCCACACUGGAACGUCUGGGUCAUGACAUUGACCUUGCUAUUAUGUUGAGCUUGUUUGACGAGGAGAUUCGACAUUUCAUUCCUCCGCUCUCUCCGCCAUCAUCCACUCAGUCACCAUCACAGCGCGGCAGUGGUAGUUCUAACCGUCCACAGCGACAUGGUGGUGUCAGCUCCUCCACACAGCAGACACCGCAGCAGUCAUCGGCGCCUACCUCGCCACAACGGUCGUCACAAUCCGCUCCGUCUAGCACUGCACCCGCCUCAGCGGCUGCUGCUGCUACUGCAGCUGCAAACCCGGUACAACAGCGUAUCGUGUCUCAAGGCAGGACAGCAGCAUCUAUCAGUCAUCGGCAAGACUUUGGUGGUCGACUGGUGCAGUUCAAUAAACAACUGGCUACCCGUGGCUGUGGAAAGGGUCCACGUGUUCUCAAGAUCAAUGUAACGCGUGAAAACAUAUUGCAGGAGGCUUAUCAGAUACUGAUGAGGGAGCCCGCCAAGGCGUUAUCCAAGGCCAAGCUGGAAAUCAUGUUUAAGGGAGAAGAAGGACUGGACUAUGGCGGGCCAAGUCGUGAGUUCUUCUUCCUCUUGUCGAGGGAAGUGUUCAAUCCGUACUAUGGUUUGUUUGAGUACUCUGCCAACGAUACGUACACGCUGCAGAUUAGUCCAAUGUCAGCCAUGGUGGAUGGUGCUCUGGAUUGGUUUCGAUUCUGUGGUCGUGUGAUUGCGCUGGCUCUGAUUCACCAGCGACUGCUCGAUGCAUUCUUCACUCGGCCGUUCUACAAGUUCUUACUCGGAUGUGUAAUGGACUUGUCUGACAUUGAGUCGGUGGAUGAAGAGUACCAUCGCAGUCUGUCCUGGAUAUCGGAAAACAACAUUGACGACGCUGGUCUAGACCUCUACUUUACCGUGGAGGAGGAAGUGUUUGGCCAGUCUAGUCAGAAUGAGUUGAAACCGGGUGGUGGGGACAUUGCAGUUACUGAUGCUAACAAGAGUGAAUACAUUGAUCUGCUGGUGCGCUGGAGAUUGGACAGAGGCGUGUCUGAACAACGCAAAGUGCUACUCAAAGGCUUUACUGAGGUGAUAGAGGCCGAUCUGCUGUCAGUGUUUGAUGCUCGUGAGCUGGAGUUAGCCAUCGCUGGUACUGUUGAGGUGGAUGUGGACGACUGGCAGAAGAACACACUUUACAGAUCUGGUUAUCAUCAAGAGCACCCAGUGAUCAAGAAGUUCUGGGUGGCCAUCCGCAAGAUGAACAACGAGAGUCGUCUGCGUCUUCUACAGUUUGUGACGGGCACGUCCAGUAUUCCGUUUGAGGGCUUUGGAGCCCUGCGCGGUAGCAGUGGUCCCCGCAAGUUCACCAUAGAAUGCUGGGGCGCCAUCACUAGCCUCCCAAGGUCUCAUACAUGUUUCAACCGUCUGGACUUGCCUGCGUAUGAAACUUACAAACAACUUAUCGAGAAGCUAACACUGGCUAUUGAAGAGACGUCCAGCUUUGGAUUGGAGUAACGUGAGCAUCACACCGCCUGUCUUCGUGUGAGCCAUCGCUAGGGCGGUGUGUGUGUAUGUGCGAGAGCCUGCUUGUUUGUAGCGAGGGUUGCAGAUAAUGCUCACUUUUUUUCUCGCUUCUUUUCGUCUUGAGUCUUUAUUUAUGCCUAGACAUUUUCACUGACUGUUCCUGGCCUAAUCGGUUUCUUUUUUUUUCUUUUUUUUCUCAUCUUCUUGCUUUUCGAGAUUGACAUAGUGUUCUCGCUUUUUAACUUUUAACCAUUAAAUUUUCGUUUCCGCACUUGAUCUUUUGCAUGACAUCUUCAACUCUUGCUUUGCGGGCAUUUUUUUUAACUCCUUUGAUAGUCUUGGUCACGAUUAGCAGUAGAUCCACACCGCCGUUUUUCCUUUACUUCCAUUGAUUGUUUUCUAGUGCCAGGCGGUGUGACGACUAAGACCUAUUAUGUUUCUACUAGUUCUAACUUAUAACCAGAUGUGUUCUUCCCGUGUCCUCUGCCAACCUUCUCCGUCACUCUGUGUGCUGCUUAGGCACUCGCGCAGCAGUGCGUAUUGUGACAGCCUUAACGUUAUGCAGUUUUAUAGCAACAAAACACUGUUUAAUACGAAUCUAGACGAG